rnacentral:misc_RNA from 1 species
GGACAAUGAAUAUUCUGAUCUUUUCUAUGCUAUUCCAUGGUCUCAAGGGACUCUAGGGCUUCUGGUUUCAGCUGAGAUCAAGCUCAUUCCGAUCAAGGAAUACAUGAAACUUACCUACAAACCUGUAGUUGGUAAUUUGAAAGAGAUUGCUCAGGCUUAUAUGGAUUCUUUUUCACCUAGAGACGGGGAUCAGGAUAACCAUGAGAAAGUUCCAGACUUUGUUGAAACCAUGGUGUAUACUCCCACAGAAGCUGUUUGCAUGACUGGUAGAUAUGCUUCAAAAGAAGAGGCCAAGAAGAAGGGCAAUGUGAUCAACAAUGUUGGUUGGUGGUUCAAAACCUGGUUUUACCAGCACGCUCAAACUGCACUCAAGAAGGGAGAAUUCGUAGAGUACAUCCCAACUAGGGAAUACUACCACAGGCACACAAGAUGCUUGUAUUGGGAAGGGAAACUUAUCCUUCCAUUUGGUGAUCAAUGGUGGUUUAGGUUUCUCUUUGGAUGGGCCAUGCCUCCCAAGGUUUCUCUACUUAAAGCCACUCAAGGUGAAUACAUUAGGAACUAUUACCAUGAAAACCAUGUCAUUCAGGAUAUGCUUGUU